rnacentral:rRNA from 1 species
CCUACGGGGGGCUGCAGUGGGGAAUAUUGCACAAUGGGCGAAAGCCUGAUGCAGCAAGGCCGCGUGAGCGAUGAAGGCCUUCGGGUCGUAAAGCUCUGUCCUCAAGGAAGAUAAUGACGGUACUUGAGGAGGAAGCCCCGGCUAACUACGUGCCAGCAGCCGCGGUAAUACGUAGGGGGCUAGCGUUAUCCGGAAUUACUGGGCGUAAAGGGUGCGUAGGUGGUUUCUUAAGUCAGAGGUGAAAGGCUACGGCUCAACCGUAGUAAGCCUUUGAAACUGGGAAACUUGAGUGCAGGAGAGGAGAGUGGAAUUCCUAGUGUAGCGGUGAAAUGCGUAGAUAUCGGGAAGAACACCGAUGGCGAAGGCAGCUCUCUGGGCCGUCACUGACGCUGAGGCGCGAAAGCUGGGGGAGCGAACAGGAUUAGAUACCCCAGUAGUC